UACGAGGGGGGCGAGCGUUGUUCGGAAUCAUUGGGCGUAAAGGGCGCGUAGGCGGUUUUGCAAGUCGAAUGUGAAAGCCCAGGGCUCAACCUUGGAAGUGCAUCCGAAACUGCGAAACUUGAAUCCUGGAGAGGGUGGUGGAAUUCCCAGUGUAGAGGUGAAAUUCGUAGAUAUUGGGAGGAACACCGGUGGCGAAGGCGACCACCUGGACAGAGAUUGACGCUGAGGCGCGAGAGCGUGGGGAGCAAACAGG
rnacentral:rRNA from 1 species